AUUUCCUUUCGUAGUUGGCUGUUUGGAUGGGACACAUUUUAAAAUAAACACACCGAAGAAGGAUGCAAUUAGCUACUAUGACCGAAAGGGGAACUAUUCCAUUAUUAUGCAGGGCAUAUGCGACAGCACAUUUCGUUUCUUGGAUGUUUUCAUCGGAUACCCAGGGAGCUGCCAUGACGCCAACGUAUGGAAAAAUAGUCCGAUAUACAAAGGAAUUACGUCUGGAGAGAUACAACUUGCAAAAGAUGCUAUAAUUUUAGCUGACUCAGCUUAUCCUCUUACGAAAUAUUUGAUCGCGCCUUAUAGAGAUAAUGGACAUCUGUUGAGAGAGGAGAAACAAUUUAAUUAUUAUUUAAGUUCAACUCGAGUAUUCAUAGAACAAGCUUUUGGGAUUUUGAGGGGAAAGUUCAAAAUUUUAAAUCAUAUUGAUAUUCAAAAUAUGGAAGAUGUAUCAAAAGUAGUAUUAGCUUGUGUAAUUCUGCAUAAUUUAAUAAUGCGGAACAAUUUUAAUGAUCCUGAAGUCAAUUAUCUAUUGGAAAAUUUGGAAACACAUUAUGAAAACGAUGCUGAAACGCCUGACAACAUAAAUGAUACUAACGAAGGUAUUAUCAGAAGAAAUAAUUUAAAAAUGUUGUUUGUUUCUUAAAUUAUAUAUUUUUUAAUAAAAAUGUUAGUAAAUAAAUACAUGUA